rnacentral:sRNA from 2 species
AUAUCUCUCUGUACGGGAAGGAUGAGAAGCUUCGACUAAGGUUCGAUUCGAGCGUCAGCGAGAAAGCGUUGCCGCAGGCAACGACCCGAAGGGCGAAGCGCGCAGCGCUGAGUCAUCCUUCCCCC